UUCUACUUACGAUCAGCGAUGGAUAGACUCAUUCAGUUUUAUUCCUAUGGCUCUAUCUAAAACACCAGCAGCCAUGGGGUUCUCAGAUCUGCUCAAGGGAUUUUUCCCCCAUGCCUUCAACACACGAGAGAAUGAGAAUUAUAUUGGGCCGUAUCCUCAACCAGCUCUAUAUGGUUAUGACGCUAUGACUGACGAGUCUAAGAAAACGUUCAUGGAGUGGUACGUUACGGUCAGCGACACACCCUUUGACUUUCGAAAAGAGCUGCUCAACUAUUGUGUUAACGAUGUGACGGUUUUGCUUAAAGCAUGCAAAAUAUACAGAGAGGCCUUCCAUGAGUGCACUGGCCUAGAUCCGUUUGCAUAUGCGACAUUGGCCUCCUCCUGUAUGGGAGUAUUUAAGACGUUGUUCAUACCCAAAGAUGCUGUUGCUCUGACAUACGAGGGUGCUUACAUUAGGCAAAACAAGACGUGUUCUGACAUUUCAAUACAGUGGCUUUAGUAUGUU